rnacentral:ncRNA from 1 species
AAAGAAAAUAUUGCCUGCACUCAUAUAUGUCCGAUGAUAUGGUUCGGAUGUCUCUACCAUGCAGCCGUAAACUGCGUGACUAUGGGUGAAAUCAUGCGGUUU